rnacentral:rRNA from 1 species
GACGAACCGUACGAACGUUAUUCGGAAUCACUGGGCUUAAAGGGUGCGUAGGCGGGCGCGACAAGUUGGGUGUGAAAUCCCUCGGCUCAACCGAGGAACUGCGCCCAAAACUGUCGUGCUCGAGGGAGACAGAGGUGAGCGGAACUUAGGGUGGAGCGGUGAAAUGCGUUGAUAUCCUAAGGAACACCGGUGGCGAAAGCGGCUCACUGGGUCUCUUCUGACGCUGAGGCACGAAAGCUAGGUAGCGAACGGG